UGGUGCCCCUAUCCAGACGGCGUGAGCAGCAAGCUGCAGGGCAGCCACAUCUUCACGAUCGCCAAGCGGAACGUGGAGGGCCAGGACAUGCUCUACCAGUCCCUCAAGCUCACCAACGGCAUCUGGGUUUUGGCCGAACUGCGCAUCCAGCCGGGGAACCCCCAUUUCACGCUUUCCUUGAAGUGUCGCGCCCCAGAAGUCGCGCAACACGUCUUCCAGGCAUACGAAACCAUCCUGAAGAACUGAAAGACCCAUUGUCCUCCGUUCCCCUCUGCAUCCCUCUCUUUCUCUGUCUCUUUGCUCCCUCCUUUUAAUGGGACCAUUUCCCCCUCCGCAAGCCAUUGCCUCGUCUCCUCUAGUGAUCUGAACAUGAGACGCGCACUGCCACCGCAAAAACAGUGCCGCUCCGUCCUGCGCGGUCAUCUUUUUGCGUCCCCUUCCGGUCCUGCUAGCUUCCCGAACCAAUAAACGAUCAAUACUCUCAGCGCUGAGGAGUUAAAAA